rnacentral:lncRNA from 1 species
UAAUCAAGCAAUGUAAAAAUCGUUAAGUGAGAAACAAGCUCUUACAAUAUUGAUGAGUAAAAGAAUAAGAUCUUCUCAGGUGAAUUCAUAAUAAAUAUCAGAUGCUGAGCUAUGAAACUGAACCCAAAACAUGAAUUAACAUUCGAAUGCAGUGUUAUCCAGCUUUUAAACAUUCCAUCUAGCAAGAAAAGGACAGAAUAUAUGACAUUCUUCUUGGAUAUGCUUAUACUUCAGAGAAUUUCUCAAUGCCGAAAAUCUGUCAUUUUUUUCAAA